rnacentral:rRNA from 1 species
CACUAUGCUUAGCCCUAAACAAAAAUAAUUAAUUAUUCGCCAGGGGACAACGAGCUCUCUAACCACAUUAGACCCCUCCAGCUUAAAACCCAAAGGACUUGGCGGUGCUUUACUUCCACCUAGAGGAGCCUGUUUUAGAAUCGAUAUUCCCCGAUUAACCUCACCUUCUUUAGCUCCCCAGCUUAUAUACCACCGUCGUCAGCUCACCCUGCAAAGGACUAUAAGUAAGCGCAAUCGAAGAGCCCCAAUACGUCAGGUCAAGGUGUAGCCAAUAAGAAGGAUAAAAUGGGCUACAUUUUCUGACCCAGAAUACAAACGGAACACAUAUUUAAAACCUGUGUGAAGGCGGAUUUAGCAGUAAGAUUAGAAUAGAGUGCUAAUCUGAAAUUGGCUCUAAAGCGUGCACACACCGCCCGUCACCCUCCUUAACCAAAUCCAGCAAUUUAUAAAUAAUACACCACAACGAUUUAGCCAAACAAGGAGGCAAGUCGUAA